GGUUAUCUUGUACACUUGAAUCUCAUGUUUUCACAUUUGAUAUUGACUAUAUUGUUAUUUUUAGUGUAUGAUAAAGCAAAACAAACAAAAACGUAAGUUCCAUUUAAAAUAAAAUUUAAAAACUGGUAUUCCAUAAUGAAGUCAUAUUCUAAUUUAUUGCCCAGCACGUGGUAUCUAUGACCUUGACCCAAGUUAAACGAAAACAGCAGAAAAAAACUGAAAUAUGGAAACGUUGGCAUCCUCAUCUGAAUAUUAGAGCUAGAGUGUCGCCGCCUUUAUACAAUUUAAUUAAGUUGUUGUACAAAGAAGCCAGAUUCGUGAAUUUUCAAGUACGGCUUGUGAGGGAUGUAGCACUUAUUCAUUAUCCCUCAUGUACAGACUCAAUCAAACCGAGUCUGCAAUCCUUCUGUUAUUUGGUUGUGAUUAAUGCUUCCGAGGGAUCACUUAGUUUCCAAAUAUUUUGUAUCAGAGAUGAAUCUGCGGUGCAUGCAACAAUGGACUUACCAAUCAAUGCAGUCGCAAGCUUGGGACAGCUAUCGCGGGAAACAACUAUCAGCAGGCGAUGUUGAAAAAAGAUUUCGAGCUUAAACCAACCAAGGGUAUUGAGACAAAAAGCAGAGUAAUAGUGUAAAGAAGUGACAGUCACCUAUAAUUCGUUGAAAAACUACUCAUAUGCCUCAUGAAUAUGCAACAGUGAUACUGCUUCAUAUGUUUAAAGUAGAUGGAAGAUAAAUGUUAAAAUUGUUUUACUCAGAUAAAAUAUAGAUUGAUUAUCAUAUAUUUUGUUCUUGUUUUCUUUGUAAUCCGUGGUUUGUCAUUUGGUAUUCCUGUCCACACACAAAAAAAUGUUGUUUUUUUUUAUCAAUAUAUAUGCAACAUUUAAAAAAUGAAAAACGGAUAAAGAAAAAAAUGAGGCCGAUCUGAAUUGGGACU